GGAGGAUUAACACAACAAUUUGCACAACCUGAACCACAGAAUUCAGCAGUUACAGGGAUCUUAAUUUCUGACUUUUGGCCUUUGAAUUUGUCAAGUCAAGCCACUGCCAUGCUUUGGGAAACCAGAAGACACAUCUUGCUUUCUGCAGGUCUUUUCAGAGGUGUGUCAUUUUCUAUGGUGUGUGUCAUUGCUCUAAUAUGCUUUUCCCAAUCGAUGGAAAAUGGAGACCAUUUUAAAGUUUCAUUAGCUUCAUGAUGCCUUAUCCUGUUCGUCAUCCUGCUCGCCUGCUAUUAGAGGGCAAUUACUUGAUGAGCUCUCUUAGAAGAAUGAAAAUGCUAAAUGAUGUUCACUUAGUGGCAACUUAAAAAUCUGAUCUCAUUUCUGAUCCAGAGUUCCUGCUAUAGAAGAAACUCAGUAAAACGUUGGGGGAACUUCAUCAAGAUGGAAACAAGCUAGUUCCUACUGGAACAGAAUAUGGUUUAAAAAAAAAUCCUAGUGCAUCUUUCUCUCAAAAAUUUGACUAUUCUUAUUGUUCAAAUGAGUGACCUUCAUCUAUUUCCACGUUAUUUGAACCACCUUCCAAUGUGAAAGUGGCAGGAUUUUCUUCAUAAAUUAAAAUGGCUAAAACAUGUCUUCAUUCUGUCCCUACUUCAAAUAGGCUUACUCUUAGGUUUUUUAAUGCCCUGUUUACAACUCAUCAUUUUGGCUUUUAUAUGACUUUGUGUGGCUUCUCCAGAGUACUGUCCACAGUUUCUGUCAUGAAUUUGCAUCCCUUUCUCUUUUAAAGCAUAAUAAAUAGAAAUAGCAAUGUCAAAUGACAACAGAGGAGUCAAACUGAAAACUCUAAGAAGACUCCUCAGAAUCCACUCAGCUAGAAUGAAAAAACAUUGCUCCACCAAGUUAAGAUGCUGUGAACCAUUAACAUGUUUAAACUUUGGUAAAACCUAUUUCAGAAUUUGCUGCUUGCUUAAACUUUCCUGGGAGACUCAGAAAAAUAAAAAGAACACACACAAUGAAUAGCCACCCCUGUUGAGAAAUAGGUAUUAUACACCCAGAAAAGGAAAUAAGGUUGGACCCACAUAACAAAUGUUAUGUACAAGAUGUAAGUUACCAAUAGGCAGACUUCCUUAUGGACAGAGCAAAUUCCACACAAAGAAGAGGAAUUAUAUUAACUACACGCCCACCCAACCUGUCUGCUCCUCCCAGAAUUUCCAGUCAAGGAAAUACAAGAAGGAUAACACCAUCUGGGAAAGGAUUUCUGAACCAGAGUCUCAUUCAGAAUGCUAUUACUUUUUAAGGCAGUGAUCCAAAAAUUGAGCGUUACAGUAGACUAGUGAUUAUACGAGCAGCUCAAGCCAAGCUAGAGGGGAGGAAGUGAUCGCACAUCUGCUCUGACUUUAAUGCCAGCCUCUGUUCCUGACACUAAGCCCUCAGAGAGCAGAGAGUGGGAGUGCUUAAACUGGGUACCAUAUAAAUUAAUCAGAGUCAAGCUAGUUACAGAUAAACUCAUCCAACCUGAUACACCUCCAUUGUAUUAGGAAAUAAAGAAUAUAAAUAAAUUAGUUGUGGAGUUGUGUUCUGUAAAAUAUUUCAUUUACCUUUAUGAGUCCUUAAUAUUUUAAAUAUUGCAUAGAUAUUGUAUAGAUACCAACUCAUUUGAAAAACAUAGUUUCCUCUACUAGAUAAGUGUGCUGCAAUCGUAGGUUAAAGAGGAAAAAAGUUGUGAGUCAUGUUUCUUUACGAGAAUGACCCAAAAGGGAGCUUCUUACCUUGCUAUUCCUUAGUGUAUAACCAUGAACAAUUUGUUUUACCUCUCUGUCUCAGAUGCUUUAUUUUUAAGGAAAAGAGAUUGUCCUAGAUCAAUUGUAAUGGAACUUCCAGCUCUAACAUUCAGUGAUCAUUCAAUGAUCACAAUUUUUUCUAUGUUGACAUCAGAUUUAGGUUAUUUCAUUUUAUUCCAAGUCAGAGGCAAGAAAACUGAGAACAUAGAAUUAAAUGUUCACCCAUAAAUACUCUGCCCAGGAUCCUUUCUAUUUGGUUUUGAUAGAGAACAAACCAUUCAGAUUUUCCAGUUAGUUAUAAUUCAAAAGAGGUAUAACUGAUAGCUGUAUUUGUGUCACUCUGUGCUCAGCAUCCUACAAACUGCUUGGCAUGUGUUGGCUCAUCUGAUCUGCAUGACAACCCUGAGGAAAUCAACUCAGAAAAAUAAAAAUGUAUCCAUUUUCUCAGCUUUAGAAAGUAAAGUGACUGAGUUACUGGACACUGUAUGCUUUUGUGCACCUAGAAGGGAGCCAAAUCUACUUGAGAUAAAUUUGGAGCCAAGUAUAUCUGGAAUCAAAUCUCAGACUGAGCAAGAUUCUUGGUAUGGCAUCCAGGAAUCAGCAAGCCUUGCAAGAGACAUCUGUGACAUGUGUCAUGAAUUCACAGCAAUGACAUCUUCAAGGUGGCCCACUGGUGCUUCUCAGUGUUUCCCUAAGUCCAGAGCAGCAUAUCUGCUGAUGGUAGCAGAACACCUGAAGUUCCAAAAUGCCUACAGGGGUGAACAAGGAAAUAUCACAGAAUACAACAGGAGACUUUCUUGGGUUGCAUGAUCCUGGCAUAUAAAAAAAUAACAAAUAAAAAAAUUGGCAGACCAAUGGUGAUCUGGCUGGUACUACUAUUGCUGCUUUCUGAGAGCUUGCCCUGGCACUAGCAUCCGCAGCUAACCAGGCAUGUUCAAGUUACCCCUUUUUAGCAGUAAGUUGGAGAACCGGGACUGGGUCCUGGGCAUAAAAGAACCAAAACCCACUGUGACACACAAUUAAAAUUUGCACUAUAUUGACAGUAAGCACUGCCUUAGCUUCUCUUGCUCUCACUCCAUUCAUAUUAUUUACCCUAGAACCUCCCAAAUGCAAUUUGGAGCCUCUCACCUAAACUUCCUGAAGGGAGAAUCUUCCAUAGUGAUGAAUGCAGUUUUUACAUAUGUGAAAACCACCAAAUAUCUCCAACCAGGAAAACAAUUCUGGUUCUGUUUUUAAAAAUAGUUUAUUCUUUUUCUUGUAUUUUCUUCUGCUCUGUAGCAUGCUCUGAGUUACUUUAUGCCCCCCCUAAAGCCAUAAGUAUUAUCAGUUCUCUAAUUUGAAUGAACCACUGUACCUGACAGGUUGCAGCAAACAAGGCAAAUAACAUGGAGGACAGUCAGCUACUUAGACAAUUGUAUUUAGGGUCCAAUUAAAUUUGCACGCUCAUAUGCUUUUAACUGGCUGCAUGUUAUAACAAUAAGAAAUAAGAAAAACAAAAACAAAACGCUAUUUUAAAGUGAAAAGAGACAUGAGCA